GUAUCCAGGCUUUGCUUCUUGUGAGAUUUAACGAAGAUGAUGGUCUUAAAAUGGUUUUACUACAAGAAAAGCUUCCCCCUACAAGGAAUACACCUGUUGUCUUCCCCCCUGAGGCCUCACACUGCCAGUCUGAGGAGUAUAAUGAUAGAUCCAGAAGGUUUACCACAGAUCAUGGGGAGACAAUACAGAUUUGUUAAGAGAAGGGCCUUCGAGACUAAUGGAUCAUAAACACAUCUUCACCUGAUGAAAGGUCUCGAGAUGGCCAGGACAGUCCGGAUGAACCACGUUGGCAUCUCUUCAGCCAGCUGAUGCCAGGCAUCUUCCUGCGAGGCGUCGCUCCGUUCAGGUACGGUCUGAUGACCUGCAUGUCAAUCCGUUGCUCCUGGUCACCGAUGAUCACUGUUCGCCACAGACGACCUGAUGAGUCUCUCUCUUCCUCACUUUCACCUGGAAGACGUUUGGCGGUGGCCACCGGAGUGUCAUCUGGAUUCAAGGUGACACAAAAAAGCUGCUGCAAUUUGUGACAAGAAAAACACUGCAGCUCAUUGCCAUUAUUAAUGAACUCCAGCGAGUCGGUCUCAUCAGGGGUCUCGAUGUCGUCCACGUUGAUGUCCAGGUCAUCAGGCGUUUCCAGAAAGUCGUCAGAGAGCACUGACCCCUCGCUCUGAUCUAGGGACAGAUUCAUGUCAG